AACCAGCAAAUUGAUCCAAAUCUGAAGCAUAUCGAUCCAUGUCCUUCUCCCCCACCCCUAAAGCGUAUCGAUGUCCUUCUCCCCCAAAUCGAUUCAGCCUUAUCUGAGGUCUGGAAGCGGUCGUAGGCAACAACAAUUUGAUAUCUCCCCCAAUUUCGAAGCGGUGUCUCCGCCCAUUGCUGCCUCUCUCUGCCUCCCCCUCUCUCUCAUAUCCCAGCUCCACUUCUCUGCCUCCCUCUCUCUCAUCUCCAAAUUGUUUUGGUUUAAUGGAGGACAGAGGAACUAGAUCUGUUUUCUCUCUCCUCCGACACCCACUUCCGGUCACCACCGUGACUCACCUCCACCAUCACAGACCUCACCGACCUCCGACGAGUUUAACGCUGCCUUGAGGAGUAAGUGUAGGUCAGGGAAUUUCGACAAGGCAUGGAGAAAUUUGUUUAAAUCGUGGUGGCCGGAGCUAGCUUAAUCAUGUUGCAGAGCUAGCUUCGCUGCCCUCAUUUGAUGGGUGCCUUGGUGAAAUCAAGAUUUCAGACUCUUUAUUGGAAUUGAUAGGUUGUGAGGGUGACAUGGCUACUUCAACUUGUGAAUAUUCCAAACUAUAUCACCAUUGUCUACACUUUGGUUACUUUGUGCAAUGCCUGAGACUUCAAAAUGUUUUCUGUGAUGAAGAAAUUUGUCACCUAUUGAGGAACAGCAAAUAGCAGAGCUUGGAACUAAGGUGGAUAAGAUCCAAGGAGCAUAUUACUGGAUUAUGCAAGCUUCUCAACCAGAACAGUGAAAGUUUAACGUCGCUUGAAUUCAUUCACUGUACACUUUCUUCAGCUACUAUAUAUCACAGCUUCUAUCACAGCAAGUUGUAGUUCUCUAUCCCCAACAAUUCGGUAAGGAGAUUAUAAAACGAGUGAUGUAAAUUUUAUUAAAACAAGUUGAUAGCAGUGAUUGUUCAAUGAUUCCAUAUAAUUAGGAUUCCUAUGUUUUUUGAAUCCAUUUGGUAUGUCCGAUGUCACUAGUGCAUUUAAUAUAAAAUAGACCAAAAGCUCACAACUGAUGCCCGUUUCUUGAAUUCUUAGGUCUUGGAAGGAGGGAAAUAUUUCAGCUAACGAGAAAUUCGUGCAAGUUUAUAUUUGCUUAUGAUGGAGUGAAGAGAGAAUUAAAGGAGAUUUUUAGUUCACCAGAACAGAAGCUCGACCAAUCUUUCGAAUUUAGGGGCAUAUGCAGAAACGCUGAUCAUUUCUUUAGUUGUAUUAUCAACUGUUAUUGACAUCUUUAGAAUGAUAUUUGUUUUCUUCAAGUAAUGCAGAAUCUUCAUUGGUUCCUAAUUAAUUA